UCCUCGUUUAGCAACCAUAAUUAGGACCAGCAACUUGUUCAUUAAGUGAAGCGGUUGCUAAAGGAAACUACGACUGUGAUCAUAUUUUAGCUUUCCUUGGCUUUACAGACCUGCGAAGGUCAUAAAUGUGAGGAUCAGUUGGAAAGUUACUUUUCCAUCACUGUGGUAACAUGAAAUGGUCACUAAAUGAGGACCACCUGUCUUGGACACCCCCUGUUGUGCACUGGAAUCAGACAAGCCAAAUAUGGCAUGCGCAGUCCCACAGCCGUGAUAGGAGUUUUGGGAACUGCAGACCCAUGAAGUGUGGCUGUAAGUAUUCUUUAAUAACUUGUGGGUUGCUUGUGCACCAAAGUUGUACAGUUGAGAGGGAGCAACACAAGGUUGGGUGUGAACAUGUGUGCUUUGCGGUGUGCUUCCAAAGGUUUAUGGACUUUAUCAAUCCCACCUCACGCCACAGACAUACAAACCAGCUCUCUUUAGCUCCUACCAUUUUCUUCUACAUUUAUUUUUCAGUUUUCUUUUUCCUCCUUUCUGUCUCUCACAAGUGAAACUUUAGAAAGUUCCCAGCUUAUUAUUUUUAAAAUAAUAAAACAUCCCCCCCCCAAAAAAACAACAACCUCAAAGAAAACCUGUAUGGAAUUGUGUAGGUUUUGUUGAGUGAAAUGGGAACAUUUUAACACCGCUUGUAGUCAAAGCCUGGUGGCAGAUCUUGUCUGAGUUGGAAGCUAAGUAUUUUAUUUUUGUUUGUUUCUUUAAACAAUUUAUGUGGCCACCCACCCCACAAGAGUGGCUCUAGGCAGAGAAGCAAGGAUUCAGAUCAAAAGACAAGCUAAAGGUUUUGUUAAAACCAUCAGCUGAAAACUGGCAGUACAACACAUGCUUGUGGUCUGAAAAAAAUCCCAUAUUCACAAUUAGAAAAGGAACUGCAGCCAAACAAAGAGUUGGGCCUGCCUCCUACUUGGAUGGGAGACCACUCAGAAGGCCUGGGGUUGCAGGCUAGACUGGCAAUUUGAGAAACAUCCAGGGAGAAAAUCAUGGCAAAUAGUUUCCAUGCAGUGGCCAAGAAAACCCCAUGGAUAAAUCCAUGAAGACAUCUGAAGGAGGCUGCUACUGAUAGUCCACCAAUCUCACGAGCAUCUUAAAAUGUUGUUUAUCCCACCCUGGAGGUAAGGGCAUCUCUGAGACUUUUGCCUUUGGCACCAGCAAUCUGAUCUGGCUAAAAUCCAGGGGGAAAAGAGUGGGACUUCAACGGGACACCAGGGCAGGUAGGCUCAAAGUUCAUCUGCCAUGAAUGUAUUGCCCGACCUUGGCUUCAGUGUAAUGGAAUAUUAUUAAUCUAAGAUGCACAUGGGAGGGGGCAGAUAAUGAUUGCAAAAUUGCAUGUGUGUUUUGAAAGGUCCGUGCAGAUGAAGAAUAAUUGCAGUUAACCCUUGCGGCGCAAAGUCCCAGCUUGGCCAACCCUCUGAAAUAAACCCUUCCCUCUGUUUAGAAUAAAUCGCUUUAGCCGAGCUGGGCUUUGCCCCUGGCUGAACACAGGAUGGCUCUCGGAGACGGACGGACCUGCGUGUAGUACUUUUCUGACGUGCUGUUUCAUUUCCAAUCAACUGCCAGGAGUCGAUCUGAGAGCCGCAGGAUUAAAAGCGGAAGAAAUAAGCAGACAAACAAACAAACAGACAAACAACUCAAGAUUCCUUUCGUUCCAGCAUGGAGGGUCCUGAAAGCUAUAAAAGAUGCUGUGAAAAACCCCAGAAAGAAGAAAUUCGUCCCUAUCUGAUCACGAUUCUGGGUCUAUAGGAGGAGAAACGCCGUUCUGGAUAGAAAUACUGAACCCGGACCUACAUGGACGGCCACGUUUUAUCUCAUUAUUUCAGGUUUUCUUUUUUCGUCGUCAUUGGCUUAUUUUUAGAAUAUUAAUAAAAUACCGUGCUAUUUUAUGAUA